AAUGGCACUGGAAGAAUUCACGGGGUACUUUUUAUACAACCCGUGAUCUCUUAGUGGCAUCUA
rnacentral:pre_miRNA from 1 species